rnacentral:rRNA from 1 species
UACGGGGGGAGCAAGCGUUGUUCGGAUUUACUGGGCGUAAAGGGCGCGUAGGCGGCCACCGCAAGUCGACUGUGAAAUCUCCGGGCUUAACUCGGAAAGGUCAGCCGAUACUGCGGGGCUAGAGUGCAGAAGGGGCAACUGGAAUUCUCGGUGUAGCGGUGAAAUGCGUAGAUAUCGAGAGGAACACCUGCGGCGAAGGCGGGUUGCUGGGCUGACACUGACGCUGAGGCGCGAAAGCCAGGGAGCGAACGGG